rnacentral:lncRNA from 1 species
ACAACUUGCAGACUUGUUUACGCUGCUGUGCGUUUUUGUUGCCGAUCUUACUUUGAUACCUGACGGUUUUUUACUUUUUCAUUACCGUAUAUUUUUACUUUUUCCCUCACUCAACUUUUUUCCUCACUCAACUUUUUUCAUUCAUCCCCGGAGGUUUUAUCUGGACAUGGUUCGUCAGGACUUCAAACAGCCGAAGCUAAGUAACAUUAACAUGAUGCCUUCUAAUUGCAGUCGUUGUACUUAUAAUAUACAGGAGAACGAUCGCCUUACGGCAAGGAUAGCUGUGCUGCAAGCCCAGCUUCAGACGCGAUCGUUAGGCAAGGGUAAUUUCAGUGUAGGAAAGGAUGAAACAGCGUCUGUGCCACCAGUAAGUACAGAUAGUAACGUUAGUAUAAACCCCCUCGCACGGUCCCCGCAGCCGGACAUCUUUCUCAUGGCUUCUGGAGGGAAACGCUGUAGGAAUGCUCAACCGGUGUCGCUUAUUCAGCCGACAGAAACUUUCAACCGGUUCUCCCCAUUAAGCGAGUCGGAGUCGGAGGCCGAGACUUCUCUGGUCUCUACUCCUCCCGUUGUGGGGUCUGAGACGCCGACGGCUCCCACCAUUAGCUCUGACAAAUUGAAAACCCUAGUCAUUGGCGACUCCAUUACCCGCAGUAUUAGACUUAAAACUAAUCAUCCAGCGAUCAUACACUGUUUACCAGGGGCAGGGCUACCGACGUUAAGGCUAAUCUAAAGACGGUGCUGGCUAAAGCUAAAACUGGCGAGUGUAGAGAGUAUAGAGAUAUUGUUAUCCACGUCGGCACCAACGAUGUUAGGAUGAAACAGUCAGAGGUCACCAAGCGCAACAUAACUUCAGCGUGUAACUUAGCUAAAAAGAUGUGUGGCCAUCGAGUAAUUGUCCUUGGCCCCCUCUCAGUUAGGGGGAAGUAGAGCAGACUCCCACAACUCAAUCUCUGGUUGAAAACUGUUUUCUUCCCCUCCCAAAAUAUAUAAUUUGUAGAACUGGCCCUUUAUCUGGGACCAAGUCUAGCC